CAAGUCGAACGGAAAGGCCAGUGCUUGCGCUGGUACUCGAGUGGCGAACGGGUGAGUAACACGUGGGUGAUCUGCCCUGCACUUCGGGAUAAGCUUGGGAAACUGAGUCUAAUACCGGAAUAGGACCAUUGGUUGGUGCCUUUGGUGGAAAGUUUUUUCGGUGUGGGAUGAGCUCGCGGCCUAUCAGCUUGUUGGUGGGGUAAUGGCCUACCAAGGCGUCGACGGGUAGCCGGCCUGAGAGGGUGUACGGCCACAUUGGGACUGAGAUACGGCCCAGACUCCUACGGGAGGCAGCAGUGGGGAAUAUUGCACAAUGGGCGCAAGCCUGAUGCAGCGACGCCGCGUGGGGGAUGACGGCCUUCGGGUUGUAAACUCCUUUCGCCAAAGACGAAUGUGGACGGUAUUUGGAGAAGAAGCACCGGCUAACUACGUG
rnacentral:rRNA from 1 species